GUUCGUUUCCCUGAGUACAUAAGACCAGAUUUGAGCUUAAGAUGAAGCUGAAAAGUGACUCACCCUUUACAUUUAUGUCCGAGCUUCCCCAUUGGGAAUGGUAAGCGUUGGCGUCGCAGCCUAUCAGUAGGUGUGUGUUUGACCUCUCGCUGUCGCUGGCAAUCCUGCGGACAAGGUCGCUGGGAGGGUCACUAUGGUCGUGAGCCAUGUAGGACGGCACACCUCUGAGGUGUGUCCCUUGCAGCUCCAGGCUAGCUGCUGUGGGGCCAGCGACUCCUUGUUAAUUACUACAACGGCUUGGUUAGUUGGGCCCUGUGCCGCUUCAACUUUAGCAACCUUCCAAUCUGCUGUUGGAAGGUUCGGGUUGCAUUGCUGCAACAUUCGCUGGAUGCGUUCUGGCUCUUUCAUCGAGACCGGCACCCAAAUUCUCGCCCUCGGUCGACUGGGCACCUCGCUCUAGUCGACUGCGACUAGUUUCGCCCCUGGGUAUACUUCCUCAACUUGCGCUACCGCUGCUUUGUACAGCUGCACGGAGCGCUCGUCUUGAUCUUUUUGAUCUUUGGCUAUUAUCUUUGUGUUACCCUGGAACCGUCUCAUGUCUUUGUAGGCUGGAGGUGGGCCGGGGUCCUUGUCCAGUAACUCGAAGCAGCGGUCGGCCAAUGCCACUUCCACCCACUUCCCCUGACUCCUGGGGAUUCUGCCAUCCAUCUGCCUAUCAGCGUCCUCUCCUUGGCAAUCUGCGCUAAGGACACGUUUGUCAGUAUCCUGGAUCGCUUUGCAGCUGGUCCAGGCGUCUCUUGCGAGCGUUGCCUUUUCGGUUGCUGGGGCGGUCUGUGAGGUUCCAGGCUGAAGAUUGGAAGCACUUCCGAGGCCCACUUCACCUUCUUCAGCCAGUCCUCUGAUGGGCUGCCUUCUGUGCUUGCGUACUGCCGACGGAGUAUGUGCCCUGCACUCCUCUUUUCGGCAUACGUAAAGCGUUUGGCUUCUGCGCUGGUCGAUGGCCCAACCUGCCC
rnacentral:lncRNA from 1 species